AUAUUUUACAGAAAUUAAUUAAUUAAGUAGGAGGAUAUAUUAAGAAAGAAUGUUUAAUUACCAUCCGGCCCAAAAUCCACCACCUCUGUGAUGGCGAUGAGAUUUUGGUGGCUGUUGCUGCUGCUGAUAGGGAAGUGACUGUUGCUGCUGCUGAUAGGGAGGUGGCUGUUGCUGCUGCUGAUAGGGAGCUGGCUGUUGCUGCUGCUGAUAGGGAGGUGGCUGUUGGUGCUGCUGAUAGGGAGCUGGCUGUUGGGGGUAUCCAGCUCCAGGACCAUCAUUUUUCAUAGGGUAAGCAACUGGUGGUGCAACAACAACAUAUGGACCGCCUUGAGUACUAGUAUUGUAUCCUUGAUGAAUUUGUGGUGGUGGCGGAUACGACGGAGGCAGAUAC
rnacentral:lncRNA from 1 species